AGUGAACGCUGGCGGCGUGCUUAACACAUGCAAGUCGAACGAGAACGGAAUAUAGCUUGCUAUGUUUGUCAGCUAAGUGGCGCACGGGUGAGUAAUGUAUAGAUAACCUGCCCUUAAGAAAGGAAUAACAGUUGGAAACGACUGCUAAUGCCCUAUAUGCCUUUAAUACAUAAGUAUGCAAGGGAAACGCUUUAGUGCUUAAGGAUGGGUCCGUAUGGUAUCAGCUUGUUGGUGAGGUAAUGGCUCACCAAGGCUAUGACGCCUAACUGGUUUGAGAGGAUGAUCAGUCACACUGGAACUGAGACACGGUCCAGACUCCUACGGGAGGCAGCAGUGGGGAAUAUUGCACGAUGGACGAAAGUCUGAUGCAGCAACGCCGCGUGGAGGAUGACACAUUUCGGUGCGUAAACUCCUUUUAUAUAGGAAGAUAAUGACGGUACUAUAUGAAUAAGCACCGGCUAACUCCGUGCCAGCCGCCGCAGUAAUAC
rnacentral:rRNA from 1 species